rnacentral:sRNA from 1 species
AGUUCCACUGUGGCAACAAGUUCAACUCUAAAAAUGUUGGCAAUUUUGAAGCAUGGCUUUGUACUUGUGCUCCUAAUGCACGUGACUCUUCAAUCUGUUCACGGACAGCUCGUCGUUGAUCCGGUUCUCGAUGAGACUCUUGGGACCGUUGUUUGCCUUGAAAGUGGUACAAUAAAACUUUUGGUCAGUGUACUUCACUUAAUAGAUUCGGGACUGUUAGGCGAACAAGUUGCAAGCGGACUCAGCCCAGUUUUGGAUGAUAUUAAUAAUCAAUUGUCAUUGAUUUUGUUACAAUUGUAAGGUCGAUCCAUUUAAAUAUCAAUAUUAAAUAGAGCAUGCAUAUAAAA